GGGAGGCGGGAGGGGGCGGGGUGCCUAGCCUGUAAACGGUAUUUUGCAAAAGCCUGAAAGCCAGAACCUCCCCCCCCCCCCCCCCUACCUUCCCGUCGCCCAUCACGCACGGCUCGAGUUCCCUUUCCAGCAAGCCGAGACCGUAAGCGUGAAGCAGCGGCGCACCAAGCUUGCGGGAAAUUCGUGGCAACAGCCAUCUUUCUCCACCCCGAACAAACGUGGUGUGCAGCCGAGUGAACUUUGCAUCUUGGAACUGCCCUCAGCUUUGCCUGCCCGGGAGAAAGUUGUUUCUAGCAUCAAGUUAAAUAUUGUUCUGCCAUACUUGACUUAACCAACAAUGUACAAAUGAUGUUACCUGAAGUGUGAAAUGGAGCCUCUAGAGAAUUUGUACAAAAUCUGCUACUAAUACCAAAUGACGGAAAAUUUAUGCUUUGAUAGAAAAUUUUGGGGAUACAAUGCUGCUGCUGCAACAUUCCCUGAAUUAUCAUAUAAAUAUUCCAAAUUAUUUUAUUGCUAUUCAUAUUAUAUUUUAUCUAACAAAAUACCUGCGCCUUUUGCGAUCUUCAAUUAGUUUAAUUCUACGUCCAUUCAAUUCACUGCCAUCCAAUUUAUCCAUUGCACUCUUCAUGUCACUGGAUGAUGCAAACUCUACCACUCUGUUGAUUCAUUAGCAAAAUUACAAUAAAAAUUAUUAGUGGUGAUAAAAGUACGGUAUAUUAUAUUUCUUCUUUCAUAGAAUUAUAAAUACAUUACUGGUUAUCUUAGUUUCUCCCAAAAAUUAUAACCAAAUGUCAAUAUUACAGUAUCUUCAAUACCUAAGCCUAAAGUUGUUACAAUUUCAGAACAUAAGAGAGAUGUGAAAUAUUUUCUCUAUAUGUUCUUUAGAACUUCUCCAUGGAAAUUUUUCUGUUUCUAGCAAAUGAUUGUGUGGAAACAAUUUUUAAACAGAUGAAAAGGAGUUGUUUCUCUCAGUUGUUUCUGACUGAUUCUAUAUAUAAUAAAAACAGUUAACAGAUUUUUGGGUUUUCUAGUUAAUAACAUUCAGAAAAAUUCCAUGAUCCCAAUAGACAGGAUGGAGUUCUCAUCUGAAUAAGUCUGUGCUGAUUCUGGAAUCUGAUUUUAAUAGCAUUUUCAGUUAUAUUCUGGAACAAAGAUGUCUGUUAAACAGCAUGGUGGAAGGGCUGGUGUUUAAAGCCCGCCCAGCCUCAGUAGAUGCAAAAUUUCAACUUGCCCUUCAUUUGGAUUGUUUCUGUGAGCAUCCACAAAAGUAACUUCCCCAGCUUUCCUCAUGAAGUCUUUCAAAUCCUGCAGUAAGAGUGAUAGUGCAGGUUAGGAAAUAAGAUUCAAGAUGCAUUGUUAAACAGGAGUUAAUAGUUAACAAACUAUAUAGCAAAAUGUCAUAUGCUAUAACUAUGAGAAAAAUUAAACUAAUUUGUAUAGUUAAGAUAUACCUUCUAUAAUGCCUAAAGUAUAUAUAACAUGUAUUUUAACUAUGAACAUAUGCAUGGUGUUAUUAAAUGCAAGCAUUUGAUUGCCUGAAAUCUCAGUUCACUUGUAUAUUCAAGGUUUGCCUAGAAACAUACUAUGUCCCAAUCUAUAAAAAUUAAACACAAAUGUCUUUAUUAAGUUAAUGCUAAGAUUCUGUCACAACCUGUCAAAAGAUAGUAUUAAAUUUUUUAUGGCUUUUGUCAGUCCGUGCCACAACCUUAGUGUUAUUUUAACAGAGACUUGCAUUUAAUGUAUUUGAGACGGUGUUUAUUUUGCAAUGCUAUGUAACUAAGUUACUUUUUUAAAAAGUCCUUUAUGCAUUAUUUCUUAAUUUUUACAAAAUGUCCCAAUAAUAGCUGACAUUUUAUAGCCAGAGGCUACUUACCAUAACAUACCACAAGUGGUCAGAUGAUAUAAGCAGGUACCCUUAAGCAAACAGUCGCUUGUCCAAUAAGCCUAGCAGUUCAAGAGGAACUCCCUUACAUGGGAGGGGCAGAGGAAUGGAGCAUAGCAAUGUGCUUCAGGGAAGAUACCAAAGACCCUGAAAGCAUUGGAAAGUCUCCGGAAGUGGCUCUAGAACCUGAGGUUGACCUGUGCUAGCCAAUCGAGCUGUGAGCCAACCAGGGUCUACAUCGCCAUGAUAGCUGUGUCAUGGGUACCAAAGGGAAAACUCAGAACAGGCCAAGCCCUAGAAAUUCAGCCACUAGGAACCCCAACCUCUUGGGUUCUUUCUCCUCCACACAAGAGAAACGAGGGCUAACCCAAAGCAAGGCUGUUAAAAGAGGUUCAAAAUGAACUUGGUUAGAGUAUAUUUGUGAAAAAAAAUAUACAAACAAAAAGCCUAAAGUUGAACUAGAUUACAGGAUACCUCAAGUUAUAUAGUGUUUAAUAAAGUACUGCUCAGAUUUUACAAACUAGCAUGUGAAUCUAACAGUUCAAACACCUGAGCCUUCAUCCUAACACAAAACAAAGCAGACAUUCUUUCAAAGCAGGAUUCAAUUAUAGCAUACUGAGUACGCCAGUCAAAAUUCUCCAUGAUAGUGAGUUUUUUAACAAUAGAAGAACUUUGAAAUCAAGAUAGGAGUAAUUAGUAUACACUUGAAUGAAUCCUCUCAAUAUAAAACUUACAACACAUAAUGCAGUAUGAUAGUAACAGUAAUUCAAAUCACAGUAAAAGGUGUAUUUAAACAACCCUUGCACAAUUUUUAAUUCAUUAACUAUGAAAUAAGACACUCAUUUAUCUAUGAAUCUGAUUAUAUCAUAUUUCAAAUUUAAUUACCUGGUGUGAAAUUUAAUUAAGGUUAAUGUUAAAUUAGCUCUACAUAUUUCAAUGUCACAAGACAUUCAAUUAUUUUUCUUUAGAAAUUAGAAGAUUGAAAUAACUAUAUUAACACUUUUAUUUAAAAAGUAUUUUUAUUUUUCUCAUCCUAGAUUAGUGGAAAAUUUUUAAAGGGGGGUAGGAAAAUAAGUUGUAUAUAUGUACCUUAGGAGUUACUAGCAUCUGGAUUUUAAAAGUAUAUAUCAGUGGGAAACUAAUACCUUUAAACCUAACAUCUUAAAAUUCUAACUUAAAAGUUAGAAUCCUUUAAAUGCUAGCUAAAUUCACAACAUUUUAUUGAAUUUGUGAACUUAAGUAAAGCCUUGCCUCAGGCAUGAUUGAUGACUUCUGUUAGUAAGGCUCAAGUUAAUUAAAUAGCCCUCCCACUCAAAUUAAACAGGAGGGAAAGUGAUUUCAAAGGACUAUGAAACUUAGCUUGUGUUAAGAGUUACCCCAGGAUUUUCCUCUUCCAAUUAUAAUUCCUGAGAUCUUACAAAGUGUAUCUUAUGACAAUCUAAUACUAUAUUCUGUUACAUUUUAAUUAGGAAAAUAGAAAAGUAGGUGGUUGCUAUUCAGUCUCUCCUGUUUCAAAGGAAAUUAAGCUAGGCAAACAAGCUAAUUAAGAAAUGGGGAUGGAUGCAUUAUGAUAAAUAUGUUUUCUUUCUGCCAGUAGCAGGCAGAGACUAACAUUUAUCAGGUUAAAACGUCUAUUUUUUUCAAGCACAGUAUGAACACUGAGCACUAACUGAAGUCAAGUAAAUAAUAUCUGCCAUAACUUAGUGUUUCUUAUACAAUUGAUAAUCUCAUCUAAAUCAAAACUUUCAAUACCUUCCUUCAAAAUAAUUAGCUGCUUGUAUCAUGGAAGCAAAAUAGAUUUGAACAGAAAAUCACUUUAUAGUUUAAAAGCAAGGAAAUUUUUAGAAGUUGUUUACAAAGAAGAACCACAUGGAUCCCAUCUAUAAUUAGCUGUAACGCGUGGAUCACUCACAAAUGGGGAGGAUGGCAUACACUUAACCUGACAAAGUGAUUGUUGUGGUUUUUGCAUGCAUUUCAGCAGAAGUAUACAGUGUUUGAUGUUGCCCAAUGAAAACUCACAUUAAUUGUUUCAUACAAUUUUUCUCUCCACAGGUAACCAAGAACUAAUAGGAUUUUUAAAGAUAUGAAUACUGGCUCGUAAUAAAUAAAUACAUAUACACA